UUUAACUUAGUUUAAUUAAAAAUAAUAGCCUGUCAAGCUUUAGAAACAAAUUUUUGUAGUUAAAU
rnacentral:tRNA from 1 species